UACGUAGGGUGCGAGCGUUGUCCGGAAUUAUUGGGCGUAAAGAGCUCGUAGGCGGUCUGUCGCGUCUGCUGUGAAAUCCCGAGGCUCAACCUCGGGCCUGCAGUGGGUACGGGCAGACUAGAGUGCGGUAGGGGAGAUUGGAAUUCCUGGUGUAGCGGUGAAAUGCGCAGAUAUCAGGAGGAACACCGGUGGCGAAGGCGGGUCUCUGGGCCGAUACUGACGCUGAGGAGCGAAAGCGUGGGGAGCGAACAGG
rnacentral:rRNA from 1 species